rnacentral:lncRNA from 13 species
CGUCCCUGAGCGGAACGAAAUCUUGGGCUGACGCUGUCCUUGUCCAUUUAAUUUAGGAAAUGUGUUGUGUCCAGAAGUCGAUUACAAUUGAAGAUGGAGUUGUGUCACGCGUUAAAUGCGAUCUUGAAGCACUCAUCAAAGACACCUGAUGAAGCCCUACCCAUCGGAUAAGAGACAUCCUGCGUCGUCAGAUCUCAGAGAAGACCAGCUAGCUAGACGGUUAACGUCUCAUCAGAACUACACAGCGUCUUCCCUUCUCCACGAGAGCCUACCAGAUUCAUCACCUGGUAUUGAGGGUAAUGAGCGAGGCGUGGAGGUGAACACAUUAAACCAAGCCGACCUUGCCCAGCCCAGCCAGGAGGGAUGA